rnacentral:rRNA from 1 species
UAACGCGUGGGAAUCUGCCCUGGAGUGGGGGAUAACCGAGGGAAACCUCGGCUAAUACCGCAUACGUCCCGAGGGAGAAAGAUUUAUCGCUCUGGGAGGGGCCCGCGUCGGAUUAGCUUGUUGGCGGGGUAACGGCCCACCAAGGCUAUGAUCCGUAGCUGGUCUGAGAGGAUGAUCAGCCACACUGGGACUGAGACACGGCCCAGACUCCUACGGGAGGCAGCAGUGGGGAAUAUUGGACAAUGGGCGCAAGCCUGAUCCAGCAAUGCCGCGUGAGUGAUGAAGGCCUUAGGGUUGU